CCUGGCCUGUGUGUUACUAUACAUUGUAUAGUCAGUAGGAAUGAAUUACAAUAGUUUUUUAAAAGUAAUAGAAUGCCAGUUCUUACUCUCUGAUUUAUAUUCUAGGAGAGAUCAUGUCUCAUCUGGCUCCCCACUCAGUUGAAUCUUUUGGCCGAUGUGGAUGGUACUGAUGGAUGAGAAGAGAGGAAGAAAGCAAAGCUUGAGGGAGGUUUGGAAAAUGAAGCAGGCUGGAGGAUGAAUGAAAUAAAUGUUCAAGCUUUUCUUAGCAAACAGCAAAGAAGCUGAGCUAUAAGGCAUGUUGUUAAUGUGUGAUGAUUCACCCAGCGCUCCAAAAUAUUCUGACAGUUUUUCAGCAUUACACUGAGCGUCUUUCUGACCCUUUCUCCUGCACCAUUCUGGUUGCUGUGAAGUGCUUCUGUGUGGUCCCUUGUCAGAACAUCACGGAGCACUUGAAUCCUGUGUCACCCAGACAUAUGGGACGAGGCAUGUUCUGGACUUCAGCCUCUCAGCCUUGAAAGCCACUUGCCACAGUUUACAAUGGGUAAUUUGUCCUCUGAGUUAUUUUGGCUUCAAUUUGGAUUAUUUUGAGUUGUGUUUUAAAGAAAUGGUGAAUAUCAGUUCUGAUCCUCAUAUAGGAUAUAUGCAUUUAUAUAUGUAUAGUGUAUACUCUACUAUACACAAUUUCUUCUGACAAUGUUAAAGAAAAAUCAGGGUGCUUCAGUGUGUUGCAGUUGCUUCCCCAGAUACAAUCCUAUGCUAAAGGACAAUUAAGUUGGGUGUGUGGGGCUAACACUUGAUAUGUAUUUUAGAAAGGAAAUGCUCUAGCUGGAAGACAAGUUCAUGAAUGCACAUUUCUCUUCUAUUCUUUGAGGUUCUCUCCUGUUUGAUGCCGUUAAUACCUGUGUACUCUUCACUUUUCAGCUGUACUGAGUAAGGUCGUUGCUGUGUCAGGAGCAGAGCCCAUGCUGCCUCUCUGUGCUCCCCUCAGCUGCCUUGGCUCAGGGGGAGCUGAAAAAAAGGACAAACUGUUCCCUUCCCGAGGAGCAAACUGCCACAGAGGUGGCACGCAGGUGUGGGAUCCAAAGUGGAGGGCAGAACAACUACCUCAUGUUUUCUGGAGUUAGUGCUCUCUUGGUGUUGGUUCUUGUACAUUUGAUCUUGUUUCAGGGCCAGCGAGAUGCCCGGGGCUGGACUGUUCCUGCCACGGCUGCAGGGUGCCAGGAGGAGCUGGCAGCCCUGUUCUGCCCCCAAAUUGGUUCCAGUAAUAGAGGAAGGUCGUUUCUUAGCUCCACCUGAGCCAAACUGAGGAUGGGGUUGGUUCUGCUCGGCCACCUCAAGGGCCAGGGACUGAUUCCAUUCAGAGCUGGCUGUAGGACGGAUGGGCUGAAUCAUCCUUUGGAGGAUGGUGCCUUUUCUACCUAUUGCCCAUGGCCCACUGCAGUGACUGCACAAACUCAGACUGUAUGUGGAACUCAAAGAUUUGGGGAGUCCUGUGCAGGGAGAUGAUCUUCACUGAAUAAAUUCAGUUUUUGUGGAGGCGUUUUAUAGAAA
rnacentral:lncRNA from 1 species